UACAGAGGUCCCAAGCGUUGUUCGGAUUCACUGGGCGUAAAGGGUGGCGUAGGUGGCAUGGUAAGUUUGAUUGUGAAAGCUCAGGGCUUAACCCUGAAAUGGCAUUGAAUACUACUGUGCUGGAGGUUUGGAGGGGGGGACUGGAAUUCUUGGUGUAGCAGUGAAAUGCGUAGAUAUCAAGAGGAACACCAGUGGCGAAGGCGAGUCCCUGGACAACACCUGACACUGAGGCACGAAAGCUAGGGGGAGCAAACAGG
rnacentral:rRNA from 1 species